rnacentral:rRNA from 1 species
AGGACGAACGCUGGCGGCGUGCUUAACACAUGCAAGUCGAGCGGUAAGGCCUUUCGGGGUACACGAGCGGCGAACGGGUGAGUAACACGUGGGUGAUCUGCCCUGCACUUCGGGAUAAGCCUGGGAAACUGGGUCUAAUACCGGAUAUGACCUCCUAUCGCAUGGUGGGUGGUGGAAAGAUUUAUCGGUGCAGGAUGGGCCCGCGGCCUAUCAGCUUGUUGGUGGGUAAUGGCCUACCAAGGCGACGACGGGUAGCCGACCUGAGAGGGUGACCGGCCACACUGGGACUGAGACACGGCCCAGACUCCUACGGGAGGCAGCAGUGGGGAAUAUUGCACAAUGGGCGAAAGCCUGAUGCAGCGACGCCGCGUGAGGAUGACGGCCUUCGGUUGUAAACCUCUUUCAGCAGGACGAAGCGCAAGUGACGGUACCUGCAGAAGAAGACACCGGCUAACUACGUACCAGCAGCCGC